rnacentral:tRNA from 1 species
AGGGUUUUAAGUUAACUAAACUAUAAGCCUUCAAAGCUUAAAAUAAGAAUUUUUUUUAAACCCUG